rnacentral:rRNA from 1 species
GUGAGUAACCUGCCCUUGACUUUGGGAUAACUUCAGGAAACUGGGGCUAAUACCGGAUAGGAGCUCCUGCUGCAUGGUGGGGGUUGGAAAGUUUCGGCGGUUGGGGAUGGACUCGCGGCUUAUCAGCUUGUUGGUGGGGUAGUGGCUUACCAAGGCUUUGACGGGUAGCCGGCCUGAGAGGGUGACCGGCCACAUUGGGACUGAGAUACGGCCCAG